GUAGUACUCCCUCCGUUCGGAAUUACUUGUCACAAAAAUGGAUGUAUCUACAACUAAAACACAUCUAGAUACAUUCAUUUCUUGGACAAGUAAUUCCGAAUGGAGGGAGUAUGUA
rnacentral:pre_miRNA from 1 species